rnacentral:rRNA from 1 species
GGCAUGCAAGUCGAACGGGGCAAUGGUUUUACUGUUGUCUAGUGGCGGAAGGGUUAGUAAUACAUAGAUAAUUUGUCCUUAACUUGGGAAUAACGGUUGGAAACGGCCGCUAAUACCGAAUGUGGUGUGUUUAGGCAUCUAAGCAUCAUUAAAGAAGGGGAUCCGAGAGGACCUUUCGGUUAGGGGAGAGUUUAUGGGAUAUCAGCUAGUUGGUGGGGUAAAGGCUCUACCAAGGC